GAAAGAUUCAUCGGAAGAGGAUGGGCAUGCGGCGCAUUAGCUAGACGGCGGGGUAACGGCCCACCGUGGCGACGAUGCGUAGGGGUUCUGAGAGGAAGGUCCCCCACACUGGUACUGAGACACGGACCAGACUCCUACGGGAGGCAGCAGUGAGGAAUAUUGGUCAAUGGGAGAGAUCCUGAACCAGCCAAGCCGCGUGAGGGAAGACGGCCCUAUGGGUUGUAAACCUCUUUUGUCGGAGAACAAAACCCGGGACGAGUCCCGGACUGCGUGUAUCCGAAGAAAAAGCAUCGGCUAACUCCGUGCCAGCAGCCGCGGUAAUACGGAGGAUGCGAGCGUUAUCCGGAUUUAUUGGGUUUAAAGGGUGCGUAGGCGGUCCGUUAAGUCAGCGGUAAAAUUGCGGGGCUCAACCCCGUCGAGCCGUUGAAACUGGCAGACUUGAGUUGGCGAGAAGUACGCGGAAUGCGCGGUGUAGCGGUGAAAUGCAUAGAUAUCGCGCAGAGCUCCGAUUGCGAAGGCAGCGUACCGGCGCCACACUGACGCUGAGGCACGAAAGCGUGGGGAUCGAACAGGAUUAGAUACCCUGGUAGUCCACGCAGUAAACGAUGAAUGCUGGUUGUCCGGGUCGAAUGAGAUCUGG
rnacentral:rRNA from 1 species